GGGUGGGAGAUGGAGGGUCUGGGGUCCUGAACACCCCCCAAGGGUGGGAGAUGGAGGGUCUGGGGUCCUGAACACCCCCCAAGGGUGGGAGAUGGAGGGUCUGGGGUCCUGAACACCCCCCAAGGGUGGGAGAUGGAGGGUCUGGGGUCCUGAACACCCCCCAAGGGUGGGAGAUGGAGGGUCUGGGGUCCUGAACACCCCCCAAGGGUGGGAGAUGGAGGGUCUGGGGUCCUGAACACCCCCCAAGGGUGGGAGAUGGAGGGUCUGGGGUCCUGAACACCCCCCAAGGGUGGGAGAUGCAGGGUCUGGGGUCCUGAACACCCCCCAAGGGUGGGAGAUGCAGGGUCUGGGGUCCAGAACCUUCGCAGGGUGCGUGCCACGGGGCUGGGGGUCCCAGACUCCCUCCCCAGAGUGAGGGGACACGGGGCUGGGGGUCCCCAGCACUUCCAGGGUGGGAGAUGCAGGAUCUGGGAUCCUGAACCUGGACAGGGUGGGAGAUGGAGCGUCUGGGGUCCUGAACCUUCGCAGGGUGGGGGGGCCACAGGAUCUGGGGUCCCAAAAUCCCCCAGAGGGAGGGGACACAGGGCUGGGGGUCCUGAGCCCUCCCAGGAUGGGAAACGCAUCCCAAACCUGCCCAGGGUGGGAAACGCAGGAUCUGGGAUCCUGGACACCCCCAGGGGGAUCCCAAACUUUCCCCAGCAUGGGAAACACAGGAGGGGGGUCCUAAAUCCCCCCAGGGUGGGAGAAGGGGACCCUGGGGUGGGAAAUGGGAAUGCUGAGCUUGGAAAAGGGAACCUUGAGCCGGGAACCGGGGACGCUGCUGGGGUAAGGAAGGCAGAGAGGUGCGGCUGGCUGGAAAGGGGUGGAUUUUGGGGGCGUGGGGGGCUUGAGGACACCCCCUUAUCCCGGCAGGAACCUGGAGGAGAAGCGGCUCCUCUGGAAGCUGCUGGACGUGCCCGGUGCCCCGGGGCAGGGAGGCUGUGGCCGGCUGUCGGCCAGCUGGGAGCCCCUGGGGGGGCCCAGUAA
rnacentral:lncRNA from 13 species